UACGGGGGGGGCAAGCGUUGUUCGGAAUUACUGGGCGUAAAGGGUUCGUAGGUGGCUUGCUAAGUCAGACGUGAAAUCCCUCAGCUUAACUGGGGAACUGCGUCUGAUACUGGCGAGCUUGAGUGCAGGAGAGGAACGCAGAAUUCCAGGUGUAGCGGUGAAAUGCGUAGAUAUCUGGAGGAAUACCGGUGGCGAAGGCGGCGUUCUGGACCGAUACUGACACUGAGGAGCGAAAGCCAGGGGAGCAAACGGG
rnacentral:rRNA from 1 species